rnacentral:snoRNA from 1 species
AAGACUAUACUUCAGGGAUCAUUUUAUAGUGCUGUACUUGAGAAAUGGUGUCUAAGUGGUAGAUCUCGCUAUCCAUGAUGAGAUUAAAGAUAUUCCCGUUCAGAGCAUGAACUGGUGGUUAGAAGUGACUUGCUCAUUUUUCUUCCACCUUGAUGACUGUCCUGUUCUUCAAUGAAGUGGAUGAAGGGAAUAUGUUUCUGAUGGA